rnacentral:rRNA from 1 species
GACGGGAGACGAUUCCUAGCUUGCUAGGAGGCGUCGAGCGGCGGACGGGUGAGUAACGCAUAGGAAUCUGCCCGGUAGUGGGGGAUAACCUGGGGAAACCCAGGCUAAUACCGCAUACGUCCUACGGGAGAAAGCAGGGGAUCUUCGGACCUUGCGCUAUCGGAUGAGCCUAUGUCGGAUUAGCUGGUUGGUGAGGUAAUGGCUCACCAAGGCGACGAUCCGUAGCUGGUCUGAGAGGAUGAUCAGCCACAUCGGGACUGAGACACGGCCCGAACUCCUACGGGAGGCAGCAGUGGGGAAUAUUGGACAAUGGGCGCAAGCCUGAUCCAGCCAUGCCGCGUGUGUGAAGAAGGCCCUCGGGUUGUAAAGCACUUUCAGUGGGGAAGAAAUCCUCGGGGCUAAUACCCUCGAGGGAGGACAUCACCCACAGAAGAAGCACCGGCUAACUCCGUGCCAGCAGCCGCGGUAAUACGGAGGGUGCGAGCGUUAAUCGGAAUUACUGGGCGUAAAGCGCGCGUAGGCGGCCUGAUAAGCCGGUUGUGAAAGCCCCGGGCUCAACCUGGGAACGGCAUCCGGAACUGUCAGGCUAGAGUGCAGGAGAGGAAGGUAGAAUUCCCGGUGUAGCGGUGAAAUGCGUAGAGAUCGGGAGGAAUACCAGUGGCGAAGGCGGCCUUCUGGACUGACACUGACGCUNAGGUGCGAAAGCGU